GACAGUGUGGUGUAGUGGUUUGAUUGUUGGACUACAACUCUGGAGACUCGGGUUCAAUUCCCAGCUCAGCCA